GUUCUCUCCGAGAUCUCUCGAGCUCUCUCAAAUGUUCCAAUAACUUUUCCAUUUGCUUUCCUUAAUCGCAACCUGAAACCAACAAAUCCCAAAACCCUCAAGCCCUCCAACAAAAUCGAAAAAAACGCCAUCUUUGCCCAAAAUUUUGAAUUUUCUUAGGAGUUCUAGCCUAUUCCUGAGAUUUCUUUGGUGGGUUUUGGUUCUCUAGUCCCGUAUGGGCUUUGGUAGCAUAUGAAGAUCGAUGACAGUGAUCGGAGUUCGUCACAAGACAUUGUGGUUGAUCACAUCCUGAGUUUUCCGACUGAUUUAUUCAAUCCUAUCAGUCCUGAUUUUGUCCCUCCAUAGCAUUUGCAGCACCAUCUGCCUUGCUCUCAUCACAGCUUGGCUUUCAGUUCCUCAGGGGGAAUGGUGGAUGUGAGAGUUUCUUUUACAACAGUUCGAAGGGAAGAGCUUGAGAGAUAGUGGACUCUUCCCCUAUUCCUCCACAAUCACUUUUACCAAUUUCAAGGAACACAUUAAAUUCCCUCAAAAUAUAAGCCGAGAAUGGAUAGGGUGCCAUAAAGAAAGGUGGCGUUAUGAAUAAUGGCUUUUUGAGAGAAUUAGAGUUUGAUCUCUUCAUUUGGAUUGUGCAUAUUUGCAUGAACGUGGGUAAAGAGUAUGAGGAUAAAGGGAAGAGAAAAUGCUGUGAUUUGUUGAGGUAUUUUUUGUACCUUUUUUUCUGUUUAAAAUUAUAUGUUUUUCAUCUUUUAGGAGUAUGACAUCGAGGGUUUGCCACGAAUUUAUGAGAAUUUCAUUGCAUCCAAACAAUGGGUGUCGAAAUAACUUGGAAUCAGCUUUUCACAUAACAUGGAUGAUGAAUAUAAGAAACUCAUACACAAAAUUACUCCAACAAGAUUUAUGCUACCUGGCAAUCAACAACUAAUAUUACUUCCAAGAAGGCAAGACCAACAUUUGGCAUGUCACAGCGGUAUAUUUUUCACAAACAAAUGGUAAAAUUGUGCACAUCACAUUAGGCAAGU